UACGUAGGGGGCAAGCGUUGUCCGGAAUCAUUGGGCGUAAAGCGCGUGUAGGCGGCUUGGUAAGUCUGCUCUGAAAGCCCGGGGCUCACCCCCGGAAGUGCAUUGGAAACUGGUGGACUCGAGUCCCGGAGAGGAGAGUGGAAUUCCUGGUGUAGCGGUGAAAUGCGUAGAUAUCAGGAGGAACACCGGUGGCGAAGGCGGCUCUCUGGACGGUGACUGACGCUGAGACGCGAAAGCGUGGGGAGCGAACAGG
rnacentral:rRNA from 1 species